UGCAGUCGUGCGAGAAGUUUCCUUCGGGGAACGGACAGCGGCGAAAGGGAGAGUAAUACGUAGAAAUCUGCCCCCUGGCCUGGGAUAGCGUUGGGAAACUGGCGGUAAUACCGGAUAAUGUCUUCGGACCAAAGGUGUGAUUCCGCCGGGGGAUGAGUCUACGACCUAUUAGCUAGUUGGCGGGGUAAUGGCCCACCAAGGCGAUGAUGGGUAGCGGGUGUGAGAGCAUGACCCGCCUCACUGGGACUGAGACACUGCCCAGACAUCUACGGAUGGCUGCAGUCGAGAAUCUUUGUCAAUGGACGAAAGUCUGAACAAGCGACGCCGCGUGCGGGAUGAAGGCCUUCGGGUUGUAAACCGCUGUCGUAAGGGAGCAAAUCCAUGGGGGUACUCCCCCCAUGGUUGAGUGAUCUUAGGAGGAAGGACGGGCUAAGUUCGUGCCAGCAGCCGCGGUAAUACG
rnacentral:rRNA from 1 species